rnacentral:misc_RNA from 1 species
AAGUCGUAACAAGGUAUCCGUAGGUGAACCUGCGGAUGGAUCAUUAUCACAGUUAACACUGUUUAAUUAUCCACAAUUUUCUUUUCGUGUAACUCGGCCUUGAGAGCAAAUCGGAUGGCGUGAGAGUUCCGGUAGGUCAUUCUACCAUGGGGUGUCCUCAUAAUCUCAUUUCUUUUUUUCUUUGGUGUGAUUUGGUUGAUGAGAUUUGGAUUCCUUUUCUCUCACGUUUUUUCAUCUAUUGUUCUCAUUGUAUUCUUCAAUCAAAAACACACACCAAUUUAACCCCUUGAACCUCUUUAUUGAGAAACGAACUAAACUGUUUUUCUUACUGUUCUGGUCCUCUUUUGGACUAAGGAGAGGAGAAAAAUAUUUAAAUACGAAACUAUAGUACAACUCUUAGCAACGGAUAUCUCGGUUCCUAUAACGAUGAAGAACGCAGC